rnacentral:misc_RNA from 1 species
CGCACAUUGCGCCCUUUGGUAUUCCGAAGGGCAUGCCCGUUCGAGCGUCAUUUCACCAAUCAAGCCUGGCUUGGUGUUGGGCCCCGGGGGUGACCCGGACCUCAAUAUCCGCCGGCCGGACGACCCGGAUCCCAGCGUUAAGGCACUGUCACAAGUUCCGCUGGAGGAGACGGGCGGCCGCGCCGUCACGAAAUACGUCGGUUCGCCGACGAAAGGUUGACCUCGGAUCGGGUAGGGAUACCCGCUGAACUUAA